UACGGAGGGGACUAGCGUUGUUCGGAAUUACUGGGCGUAAAGCGCGUGUAGGCGGCUGUUCAAGUUGGGCGUGAAAGCCUUGGGCUUAACCCAAGAAAUGCGCUCAAUACUGGAUAGCUAGAGGACCGGAGAGGAUAGUGGAAUUCCCAGUGUAGUGGUGAAAUACGUAGAGAUUGGGAAGAACACCAGUGGCGAAGGCGGCUAUCUGGACGGUUUCUGACGCUAAGACGCGAAAGCGUGGGGAGCAAACAGG
rnacentral:rRNA from 1 species